rnacentral:rRNA from 1 species
UACAGAGGUCCCGAGCGUUGUUCGGAUUCAUUGGGCGUAAAGGGUGCGUAGGCGGCGGGGUAAGUCUGAUGUGAAAGGUUGGGGCUCAACCCUGACACUGCAUUGGAUACUGCCUUGCUAGAGUACUGGAGAGGAGACUGGAAUUUACGGUGUAGCAGUGAAAUGCGUAGAGAUCGUAAGGAAGACCAGUGGCGAAGGCGAGUCUCUGGACAGUUACUGACGCUGAGGCACGAAGGCCAGGGGAGCAAACGGG